rfam:Ciona savignyi cont_7681, whole genome shotgun sequence.
CAAGAGGCCUUUUUCGAGGCCACAUUUUUUACAACACGAAUUGCUC